GCUGGGCAUGGUGGUGCAUGCCUAUAAUCCCAGUAGCUCGGGAGGCUGAGACAGGAGGAUCGAAAGUUCAAAGUCGGCCUCAGCAAUGGCAGGUUGAGAUGCUCAGCAACUCAGUGAGACACUGUCUCUA
rnacentral:sRNA from 1 species